rnacentral:rRNA from 1 species
GACGAACGCUGGCGGCGUGCUUAACACAUGCAAGUCGAACGAUGAAGCCGGAGCUUGCUCUGGUGAAUUAGUGGCGAACGGGUGAGUAACACGUGAGUAACCUGCCCUUGACUCUGGGAUAACUGCUAGAAAUGGUAGCUAAUACCGGAUACGACCCUCGGAGGCAUCUUCAGGGGGUGGAAAGAAUUUCGGUCAAGGAUGGACUCGCGGCCUAUCAGCUAGUUGGUGAGGUAAUGGCUCACCAAGGCGACGACGGGUAGCCGGCCUGAGAGGGUGACCGGCCACACUGGGACUGAGACACGGCCCAGACUCCUACGGGAGGCAGCAGUGGGGAAUAUUGCACAAUGGGCGCAAGCCUGAUGCAGCAACGCCGCGUGAGGGAUGACGGCCUUCGGGUUGUAAACCUCUUUUAGUAGGGAAGAAGCGAAAGUGACGGUACCUGCAGAAAAAGCACCGGCUAACUACGUGCCAGCCGCCGCGGUAA